rnacentral:tRNA from 1 species
UGGGCUGUCGCCAAGCGGAAAGGCACAGGACUUUGACUCCUGCAUUCGAAAGUUCGAAUCUUUCCAGCCCAG